ACUCAAAGGAAUUGACGGGGGCCCGCACAAGCGGUGGAGCAUGUGGUUUAAUACGUCACUAACCGUAGAACCUUACCAAGGCUUGACAUCCGUCGCACCGGUGUGAAAGCAUCGUCCCGAGUAAUCGGGCGGCGAGACAGGUGUUGCAUGGCUGUCGUCAGCUCGUGUCGUGAGAUGUUGGGUUAAGUCCCGCAACGAGCGCAACCCUCAUCCCAUGUUGCCAGCGGGUAAUGCCGGGAACUCUUGGGAAACUGCCGGGGUAACUCGGAGGAAGGUGAGGACGACGUCAAGUCAGCAUGGCCCUUACGCCUUGGGCUACACACAUGCUACAAUGGACGGUAUACAGAGGGACCCGAUGCCGCGAGGUGGAGGCAAUCCCAGAAAUCCGUUCUCAGUUCGGAUUGCAGGCUGCAACUCGCCUGUAUGAAGUCGGAAUCGCUAGUAACCGCAGAUCAGAUAAGCUGCGGUGAAUACGUUCCCGGGCCUUGCACACACCGCCCGU
rnacentral:rRNA from 1 species